AUGAACGCUAGCUACAGGCUUAACACAUGCAAGUCGAGGGGCAGCGGGAUUGAAGCUUGCUUCAAUUGCCGGCGACCGGCGCACGGGUGAGUAACGCGUAUCCAACCUUCCGCUUACUCGGGGAUAGCCUUUCGAAAGAAAGAUUAAUACCCGAUGGUAUCUUAAGCACGCAUGAGAUUAAGAUUAAAGAUUUAUCGGUAAGCGAUGGGGAUGCGUUCCAUUAGGCAGUUGGCGGGGUAACGGCCCACCAAACCUACGAUGGAUAGGGGUUCUGAGAGGAAGGUCCCCCACAUUGGAACUGAGACACGGUCCAAACUCCUACGGGAGGCAGCAGUGAGGAAUAUUGGUCAAUGGGCGAGAGCCUGAACCAGCCAAGUAGCGUGAAGGAUGACGGCCCUACGGGUUGUAAACUUCUUUUGUGCGGGAAUAAAGGAACCUACGUGUAGGUUUUUGCAUGUACCGUAACGAAUAAGCAUCGGCUAACUCCGUGCCAGCAGCCGCGGUAAUACGGAGGAUGCGAGCGUUAUCCGGAUUUAUUGGGUUUAAAGGGAGCGUAGACGGGUUUUUAAGUCAGCUGUGAAAGUUUGGGGCUCAACCUUAAAAUUGCAGUUGAAACUGGAGACCUUGAGUACGGUUGAGGCAGGCGGAAUUCGUGGUGUAGCGGUGAAAUGCUUAGAUAUCACGAAGAACCUCGAUUGCAAAGGUCGCCUGCUAAGCCGCCACCGACGUUGAGGCUCGAAAGUGCGGGUAUCAAACAGGAUUAGAUACCCUGGUAGUCCGCACGGUAAACGAUGGAUACUCGCUGUUGGCGAUAGACAGUCAGCGGCCAAGCGAAAGCGUUAAGUAUCCCACCUGGGGAGUACGCCGGCAACGGUGAAACUCAAAGGAAUUGACGGGGGCCCGCACAAGCAGUGGAGUAUGUGGUUUAAUUCGAAGCAACGCGAAGAACCUUACCAGGUCUUGACAUCCUUCUGACCACUCCGUAAUGGGAGUCUUCCUUCGGGACAGAAGAGACAGGUGGUGCAUGGUUGUCGUCAGCUCGUGCCGUGAGGUGUCGGCUUAAGUGCCAUAACGAGCGCAACCCUUGCUGCCAGUUACUAACAGGUCAUGCUGAGGACUCUGGCAGGACUGCCAUCGUAAGAUGCGAGGAAGGUGGGGAUGACGUCAAAUCAGCACGGCCCUUACGUCCGGGGCUACACACGUGUUACAAUGGGGAGUACAGAGGGCAGCUACCGGGCGACCGGAUGCGAAUCCCGAAAGCUCCUCUCAGUUCGGACUGGAGUCUGCAACCCGACUCCACGAAGCUGGAUUCGCUAGUAAUCGCGCAUCAGCCACGGCGCGGUGAAUACGUUCCCGGGCCUUGUACACACCGCCCGUCAAGCCAUGAAAGCCGGGGGUACCUGAAGUACGUAACCGCGAGGUUCGUCCUAGGGUAAAACCGGUAAUUGGGGCU
rnacentral:rRNA from 1 species